AUUGAACGCUGGCGGCAGGCCUAACACAUGCAAGUCGAACGGUAGCACAGAGAGCUUGCUCUCGGGUGACGAGUGGCGGACGGGUGAGUAAUGUCUGGGAAACUGCCCGGUGGAGGGGGAUAACUACCGGAAACGGUAGCUAAUACCGCAUAACGUCUUCGGACCAAAGUGGGGGACCUUCGGGCCUCACACCAUCGGAUGUGCCCAGAUGGGAUUAGCUAGUAGGUGGGGUGACGGCACACCUAGGCGACGAUCCCUAGCUGGUCUGAGAGGAUGACCAGCCACACUGGAACUGAGACACGGUCCAGACUCCUACGGGAGGCAGCAGUGGGGAAUAUUGCACAAUGGGCGCAAGCCUGAUGCAGCCAUGCCGCGUGUAUGAAGAAGGCCUUCGGGUUGUAAAGUACUUUCAGCGGGGAGGAAGGCGAUGAAGUUAAUAGCUUCGCCGAUUGACGUUACCCGCAGAAGAAGCACCGGCUAACUCCGUGCCAGCCGCCGCCGUAA
rnacentral:rRNA from 1 species